GCGGGUGUAGCCAAGUGGUAAGGCACUGGGUUGUGAUUCCAUUAUUCGCGGGUUCGAACCCCGUCAUUCGCC
rnacentral:tRNA from 1 species